rnacentral:misc_RNA from 1 species
UGCUGGUGUAAUCCAAUGAGGUUAUUCAAAUGUAAACCUUAAGGAGAUAAGUUUAAUUAUUUCAUAAAAAAAUAAUACUGAUUUCUUAUGCCUGCAAGAAUUUCUACCUUCAGCGCUUAUUUAAAGGGCCAUCAUGCUAACACCAACUCUAGCCAAGAUAAUCGUCUUCCCUUCUAGCAAAGAGCACCAUAUCAAUACAAUGGAUGCAAGAUUAUUAGAGGCUGCUCAAUGUGGAGACAUCAAUUACUUACAACAACUGCUGAGAGAAAACCCACUCAUCCUUGACAGCAUUGCACUGUUGUCCACUGAGAAUCUCCUUAAUGUCGCUCUGGUAACUGGAAACGUUAGCUUUGUCAAGGAGGUUAUAAGGUUAAAGCCUCAUUUUGCCAAAGAAUUAAAUCAAGAUGGCUUUAGCCCCAUGCAUAUGGCAGCAGCUAAUGGCCAUGUAGAGAUUGUAAAGGAGCUGAACGAAGUUGACCCCAACCUUUGCCGGUUAGAGGGAAGAGAACAAAGGACUCCUCUUCAUUACGCAGCCAUCAAAGGGAGGGUUGAGGUAAUCAGCGUUUUGCUUGGCAGUUGUCCUGAAUGUAUCGAUUCUGUGACAGUUGAAAGAGAGACUGCUUUGCAUCUUGCUGUUAAGAACAACCAAUUUCAAGCAA